rnacentral:rRNA from 1 species
UACGGAGGGUGCGAGCGUUGUCCGGAAUCAUUGGGCGUAAAGGGCGCGUAGGUGGCCUGGUCAGCGUGCGGUGAAAGCUCGGGGCUCAACCCCGAGUCGGCCGUGCGAACUGCUGGGCUGGAGCACUGUAGAGGCAGGCGGAAUUCCGGGUGUAGCGGUGGAAUGCGUAGAGAUCCGGAAGAACACCAAUGGCGAAGGCAGAUCUCUGGGCCGUAACUGACGCUGAGGAGCGAAAGCAUGGGGAGCGAACAGG